GCUCAGCAAACAAAGCAGGCGCUCAGUAGCUGAUGUCGUCAUGUGAGGGUUUCGCUCUUAAAGUGUGGGGCACGAAAGACCAGUCCGGCCUGGGAUUUUCCUGUUGCUUAACUUUUUAAAAACUUUCACUUUUUUUCUGGUCUGUUUGUUUAUUUUUUUAUUUAUAAACUUUUUUUUUUAAUUAUCAUAAUUCAGAAUAAUAUCGGACACUUUGUCCGUAUAUCGGGAAUAAUAUGUACUCAUUAGCAAAAUAAAUUUAUAAUUAAACAAGAAUAUUAUUGGGGUUUAUUUUGUUUUAUUUUUAUUAUGCCGCUUCGAUGAAGGCUGGAGUUAAUGUUUGAAUACUCGAAGGGUGUGGAUUUGUUUAACCGAGUAUAUCUGCUGAAAGGGCGAAUGAUCUACUUUUCUCUAUUUCAUUAUAAAUAUUAAUGAAGCAAUCGUUAACCUGCUUGUAUUAAAGUCGGGUAUAUUUUUUUCCAAGUUGUCUUUUUCACAACUUGUGAAAGUUAUCUCAGGACAUUUUUUGCAAAGAUAAUAUGAAUAUUCACAAACAAGGACCAGUUUCCUUAAAUCCAUAUUAAAGGAGGACGUUGCGGCGCUGUCCGUGGUAUUGAAAGAGAAACUCCAGGGUUUGGCGAAUUCACUCCUAAAACUUUCACUCUCCUCAGACAAUUUUAUUUUCACCAAGAAACCCGACCAUGGGUCCGCCAGCAGGGAAUCUAUUUCUCUUCCUAGCUCUCUUUGUCUUUGAUGAUGAGCAGCCAGGUGUGUGUGGAUAUACCGUCGGACACGGAGGCCGUCCUGGGUAAUGCCAUGAGGCUCACCUGCAUCUCCUGCAUGAAGAGAGAGGAGAUCAGUGCCAGGACACGAGUGGACUGGUAUUACGUGACGGAGGCUAACAAAAGGAUUCCGAUCUACGUGUUCGAUGGGGUGCCGCAGGAAAUCGACGGGCUGUGGAAGGGCCGAGUGAUAUGGAACGGCAGCAAGGACCUACAGGACCUGUCCAUCAGCAUCCAGAGGGUCACGGCCAACGAUACUGGCACGUAUGUGUGCGAGGUGCAGCGCCAGUUCCAGUUCGACUCCUACACGCCCUCCUUCACCUACAGCAAGGUCAUCCAUCUGGUCGUGAGUGAGGAAGUCAGUCGGAACCUGACGGCAGUGUACUCAGAGUACGUCAUGUAUGCCCUGCUGAUGUUCCUGACUCUCUGGCUGCUGGUGGAGAUGGUCUACUGCUACAGAAAGGUCUCCAAGGCCGACGCCCGUGGGCAGCGCAAUGCGACAGACUACCUAGCCAUUCCGUUUAAAAAGGGGGAAAAUGUGGCUAUUCCAGGAAUGGAUUAAAUCAUUCUCUCACAAAUACGGUAUUCUAAUUUUAAUCUGUACAGCGUUGGCUGCGUGCACCAUCUCCUUCAGACCCAUCUUGCAAAUGACCAUGGGCUUCGGGUUCAUAAUCGAAAGGAACCUUGCAUGUUUUCUUUGGCUUAAAUUUAUCUGCAUCUCCAGUACUCACCCCCCACCCCUCCCCUCCCCCUUCAGGGAAUGACCAUCCGUCUCCAUCAUUGUACUGACAUUGCACCCAUUACGUACAUAACCAAGCUUGGUGAUCCAGAGAAAGAUUUGCCGUUACAAUCAGAUCUUUUGAUUAAUGAUGCACUUGUGACUAAACCCACGCUUGUUGCUUUUUCAUGUUCCCAUGAUCCUCCUCUCUGCUCCACGGUGUCGUCCUGAUGUCCUCAGAUUUUCCAAUGUGCUGUAGACCAGGUAUUGAUUCUUACCUAUAGCUGGAAAUGGGAUUCAAAUUCAAGCCAUAAUCUUCUACAGCCAAACCAAGUCUUUUGCUAACUGGCACUCAGCAGAACCAGUGUGACGACUCAGCUCUUAUGGCACGCGACUGUUGAUUGGACGAAUUGGGGAAAACCUAACUGGACAUUAACAGACAGAACCUACGCCCGGAACUAAAUGUUGCUCUGGUGAAAGUUCAAAGUACAAAGUUAGGAAGAAUCAUGUGUGUGUGUGUGUGUGUGGGGGGGGGGGAGUGUACAAGAAGUCUAUAGUUUCAGCAGUUUUUACAGCAUACUGUUGUAUAAUCCAUCUUACUCAACCUUAGUGAGCUGCAAAACAUAACUGAGGAACAAAUUUCCAAAACUCACUCAUUCUGGACUUCAGUUAAUCACAUCAGCAAGAAAACCCUUGUAAAUCAGACGGAAGAAGUCAUAUAUAUGUAAUAUUGAGUCAUGCUCAUUUUUUUACACAAAAUAUUUUCAAUGAUUUUAAAUAUUUUUUUUAUACUAGUACAAGCCCAGAAACAACCCAUUUUACAUGCUGCCAAAAAAGGAGCUGUAAUUGAACACCAGUAAAAGACUCAAUUCCACACAUAUGUCAAAAAACAGGUUUUUAUUACAUUGUGGGGGACAUUUGGUCUCCUACAAUGUAAUGUAAACCUGUUUUUUUGACGUUGUGGAACGGAUCUUUCAGAUCCUCAGAAAGAUCUGUGAAUGCAAUCAAAAAAGUAAAAAUGCCAAAAGUCUUGUAUUUUGUUUGGUUAUUCAGGUUAAGGUUGGGGCCACAUAGGGGUUAAGGUUGUCAUGUUGGGAUUAGAGUUUUCCCCAUAGAAAUGAUUGGAGAGUCCCCACAAAGACAUAAUUUCAAAGCUGUGUGUGUGUGUGUGUGUGUGUGUGACAAUAGGGAAGUGCAGUCACCUUAGUGAAUGUAGCACAUUCUUCACUGGUCAAACUCCUCUAUAAUUUGGACGGGUGUUUCUCAACUUAGUCCCCGGGAGGUGGUA